CGUCGUGUUGCUCGCUGAAAUCUUCCGGCUGGCCUGGCAAGUGACGCCCAACAGCGUGGAGCUCAACGAAAGUUCCUUGCGGCCGCUGCCCGUUGAAACUAUUAAGAAUGCCGAAGCGCCGCGCUGGCUCCCAGAAAGGUUGGUACGCACGGCGGAGGAGAUCACUGGUGGAGCGAAUGAGACAGCUCACAAUCCAGGAGACGGUCCUGCUGCCGACAACUCAGCAGAUACAGGCACUAUUACAGAUGGCGUCACUGGCUGG